rnacentral:rRNA from 1 species
AGAGUUUGAUCCUGGCUCAGGAUGAACGCUAGCUACAGGCUUAACACAUGCAAGUCGAGGGGCAGCAUGGUCUUAGCUUGCUAAGGCCGAUGGCGACCGGCGCACGGGUGAGUAACACGUAUCCAACCUGCCGUCUACUCUUGGACAGCCUUCUGAAAGGAAGAUUAAUACAAGAUGGCAUCAUGAGUCCGCAUGUUCACAUGAUUAAAGGUAUUCCGGUAGACGAUGGGGAUGCGUUCCAUUAGAUAGUAGGCGGGGUAACGGCCCACCUAGUCUUCGAUGGAUAGGGGUUCUGAGAGGAAGGUCCCCCACAUUGGAACUGAGACACGGUCCAAACUCCUACGGGAGGCAGCAGUGAGGAAUAUUGGUCAAUGGGCGAGAGCCUGAACCAGCCAAGUAGCGUGAAGGAUGACUGCCCUAUGGGUUGUAAACUUCUUUUAUAAAGGAAUAAAGUCGGGUAUGGAUACCCGUUUGCAUGUACUUUAUGAAUAAGGAUCGGCUAACUCCGUGCCAGCAGCCGCGGUAAUACGGAGGAUCCGAGCGUUAUCCGGAUUUAUUGGGUUUAAAGGGAGCGUAGAUGGAUGUUUAAGUCAGUUGUGAAAGUUUGCGGCUCAACCGUAAAAUUGCAGUUGAUACUGGAUAUCUUGAGUGCAGUUGAGGCAGGCGGAAUUCGUGGUGUAGCGGUGAAAUGCUUAGAUAUCACGAAGAACUCCGAUUGCGAAGGCAGCCUGCUAAGCUGCAACUGACAUUGAGGCUCGAAAGUGUGGGUAUCAAACAGGAUUAGAUACCCUGGUAGUCCACACGGUAAACGAUGAAUACUCGCUGUUUGCGAUAUACAGCAAGCGGCCAAGCGAAAGCGUUAAGUAUUCCACCUGGGGAGUACGCCGGCAACGGUGAAACUCAAAGGAAUUGACGGGGGCCCGCACAAGCGGAGGAACAUGUGGUUUAAUUCGAUGAUACGCGAGGAACCUUACCCGGGCUUAAAUUGCAGAUGAAUUACGGUGAAAGCCGUAAGCCGCAAGGCAUCUGUGAAGGUGCUGCAUGGUUGUCGUCAGCUCGUGCCGUGAGGUGUCGGCUUAAGUGCCAUAACGAGCGCAACCCUUAUCUUUAGUUACUAACAGGUUAUGCUGAGGACUCUAGAGAGACUGCCGUCGUAAGAUGUGAGGAAGGUGGGGAUGACGUCAAAUCAGCACGGCCCUUACGUCCGGGGCUACACACGUGUUACAAUGGGGGGUACAGAGGGCCGCUACCACGCGAGUGGAUGCCAAUCCCCAAAACCUCUCUCAGUUCGGACUGGAGUCUGCAACCCGACUCCACGAAGCUGGAUUCGCUAGUAAUCGCGCAUCAGCCACGGCGCGGUGAAUACGUUCCCGGGCCUUGUACACACCGCCCGUCAAGCCAUGGGAGCCGGGGGUACCUGAAGUGCGUAACCGCGAGGAGCGCCCUAGGGUAAAACUGGUGACUGGGGCUAAGUCGUAACAAGGUAGCCGUACCGGAAGGUGCGGCUG